GUCCAUGGCAGGGGGCUGGAAUGAGAUGAGCUUUAUAGUCCCCUUCCAAGCCAAACUAUUCUAGGAUUCUGUGAUAAAAUAAGUGUAAAAAAUAUGUUCCUUUUAUAGCAGUAUAUUCUAUAUAGCUGAUCUAUAUAAGAAAACUUCAGAAUAUGUAGGUAGUGUAUAAUAUUUUACAUAUUAUACAAUAGAUGCUCAUAUAUGUCUGUUACAAAUUGCAUCUUAGACAAUGCACAUUAAAUAUAUUAUCUACAGUAUAUAAUAUCAUCUCUGCAUUAUAUAUAAUUACUGAUACAGUGCCAGUGUUGAUGUAAUGGAAGGGUUUGUCAGCUCUGCAGCCAGGAUUUGUGCGCUGUGGAGGACAGAGCUUGUGUGUGUGCACACCUGGCAUAUCUCUUAUGCACAUGUCAUACGUGGUCUGAAAUGCUCUCACUGUAUCAAUAUAGUGCAUGGAGUAUUCCAGGAUGCACAUCAGAUAGGAGCCAAAUGUGGUCCUUCUGUCAUGUUGUACAGAAUUCACACAUUGCUGAUAUGAUUUAUAUCACUUUCUUACAUGCCCUUUAAACAAAAGUAUGCUGCAUAUAAAUGCACACAGUAUUACAGUCAGCAAAGCAAUGUUCUAGUUUAUGUCAUGAUAUAUAUAUUAUAUACCAGGGAUGUGUGCCUAUGUAGAUAUACAUGUGUAAUGUAAAGGUAAUAUGUUGUAUUUAUGUAGCCUAUAACCAAUUUUUGGAUAAAAUUAUUACCUUUAUAGUCGACAUUUGAUAUUCAAAACCACAUAUGCAUAAGGUGAAAUAUAUAGUGCAUAUAUGAUAAAAUACAUUGUAUAAUAUAUAAUGCAUAUCACAUUAUAUACCUUGUUUUAUACCUAGAUUAUAGAUCACAGAUUGCAUAUAUUGCCCUUAAUGUAAUAUAUGCACGUUGUAUCUGUGGGUAGAGGAGAAAACCACCACUAAAAUCCUCUUGUUUUUAAUGCUGAUGUGGGUGCUUGGGUGAUGGGGUAUUUCAGGGAAGCAGGUGAUGGACAGUGGGGUCAGGGCUGGCAGGAGCUGCCACCCUCCAGGGUGAGCAAGGACACUGCUGCCAUGGGGGCCCUGGGUGUCCCCGUGUCACAGCGUGGUGUGAGCCCCUCCAGAGCGCUCCUGGGAACGCUGCUGCCUGCACAGAGGGACAGGAGGUGUCCAGCAGGGCUGUCCCUGCCCUGUGAGCCAGCCCUGCACAGCCACAGCACCGGCACCGCGCCUCACCGGAGCUCCAGCACCGCCCGCCCGCCAGCACACACAGCACACAGGUUCCUUCACUGACAGAUGAUCAAUAGAAAACAAAACCCAGGUGUGAGGCAGAAAAUCAAACCAGUUGUCCAAGCCCUCAGUGACAGAGGCUCCUUCCUGCAGCUGCACCAGAUGAGUUCCUGCCAGGCACUGGGGCUGAGCUGCUGCCCCUCAGACACAGAGAGCACAGGGUGGCCCCUGGCCUGCUGUCAGACAGACAGACGGCUGUAACACCAAGUGUAAGUGCAAAAACAAACGGGGGCCCGACAGGGCACUUCCCAAACAAGACAAUCCCUUUGUUAAAGCAACUCCCAUUCUGCUGGGAGGUGUGUGUGUGUGUGCCCAGGAGCAGCCAAGCAGCAGCAGGACAGGGCUUUGUGCCUGCUGGAUCUCAGAUUUCUGUUGCUUUAAAAUACCAGGGAUUUAACUAUAAAAAUGUUCACCCCAUCAGCCUAAGACACGUGUAGACCAAAACACAUCAGCUACUGCCAAAUGAGCUCUGCUCACUACAGCAGGUGCCAGGAGGACACUCUAAGUCCUCAGAAGCCUUCAGCUGUGUUGUCCUCUGGCUAGGGACAGGUCACAGCCUGCUGGGACAAGGUGAGGGGGUUACCCAGUUCUUCACACUGUGCUGGGAAGGGGUCAUGGCAGGAGUGUGGCUUUUGCUCUUCUAACAGGGAUUUGCUUAUUUUUGUUUCUCUAGGGAGCAGUUCCAGUGCACACACCACAGAAAGGCCACAGUGCUCCCACAGUGGGACAGCACCAACGGGAGAGUCCUGGCUCAUCCACUGUGCUCCAGCAGGGCAACGUUUGCUACCCGGCUAGUCAUGGGGAAACCCCUCUUCAGAAGAAAUUCCCUAAUGCAGAGAGAGCUGGAAAUGAGUAUUCCCAGCAUGAGGGCUUGCACAGAACUCUGCCUGGAAGGCGCCUUAACCUCUGGAAAAAUCCUGAAGAAUCAUGAUUUCUUCCACUACAAAACAGGUAGGAAGGAUGGCCUCACAGCCAGGCAGGGAGAGCACAGCGAUGUUGUGAGCCGUCUCUGAAGGCUGGCACUGCCUCAGAGCCUCCUGAGGGCUGGCUGUGCUUUGCAGCAGACCUGCUUCCAAAGAAGCCCCAAAGAGCAGCCAGGGUCUUGGCUGAAGCUGCCCAUGGCUGUGCUGUCCCUCGGGCACUGUCACUGCAGGACAGGUGGGGACACGGCCACGGCAGCAGGAUGAGUCCUCAGCUGCUGUCUGGACAAGGACUCAGCCUGGCUGUCGGCUGCACAAGGUCCAAGGUGAGGUGUAACCUGUGCCUGUGCCUGCGCAGCUCUGGGGUUUGAGUGACUGAACGAGGGUGGAAGAGCAGCAGCACAGCCCCAAGUGUGAACCCCUCCACCUGCGCUGCGUUUGCAUCUCAAAGACAGCCCUGACUGACCAGAGUGGUUCUUGGACAGCACCCACUGAGGGGGAAUAGCUAAUUUGAAAAAGGUGGAAAGUGUGACUUAGCUUGUAAAGGCAUUUUCUGUGAAAAAGGCAGAGCUGUCAAUUUUGGAAUAAAACAAAACCUGUGGUGAUAUUGGCUGGGGAGAAAAGCGUGUGGGAGGGAAGGGCUGCAAGGGAGGUGUUGUGCUUGGCAUUCCUGCAGUGAGGCACAGUGGCAGAUGGUCAAAAUAAUAAAGUCUUCUCCAACUGCACAAA